UUUGGUUAAGUUAGAAAGGGCGCACGGUGGAUGCCUUGACACUAGGAGUCGAUGAAGGACGGGACUAACGCCGAUAUGCUUCGGGGAGCUGUAAGUAAGCUUUGAUCCGAAGAUUUCCGAAUGGGGAAACCCACCAUACGUAAUGGUAUGGUAUCCUUAUCUGAAUACAUAGG
rnacentral:rRNA from 1 species